UACGAAGGGUGCAAGCGUUAAUCGGAAUUACUGGGCGUAAAGGGUGCGUAGGCGGUUCGUUAAGUCUGUCGUGAAAUCCCCGGGCUCAACCUGGGAAUGGCGAUGGAUACUGGCGGGCUAGAGUGUGGCAGAGGGGGGUAGAAUUCCACGUGUAGCAGUGAAAUGCGUAGAUAUGCGGAGGAACACCGAUGGCGAAGGCAAUCCCCUGGGCCUGCACUGACGCUCAUGCACGAAAGCGUGGGGAGCAAACAGG
rnacentral:rRNA from 1 species